rnacentral:rRNA from 1 species
UACGGAAGGCAGCAGUGGGGAAUAUUGCACAAUGGGCGAAAGCCUGAUGCAGCUAUGCCGCGUGUAUGAAGAAGGCCUUAGGGUUGUAAAGUACUUUCAUCGGGGAGGAAAAAACAAAACUAAUAAUUUUAUUUCUUGACGUUACCCGAAAAAGAAGCACCGGCUAACUCCGUGCCAGCAGCCGCGGUAAUACGGAGGGUGCUAGCGUUAAUCAGAAUUACUGGGCGUAAAGAGCACGUAGGUGGUUUUUUUAAGUCAGAUGUGAAAUCCCUGGGCUUAACCUAGGAACUGCAUUUUGAAACUGAAAUACUAGAGUAUCGUAGAGGGAGGUAGGAAUUCUAGGUGUAGCGGUGAAAUGCGUAGAUAUCUGGAGGAAUACCUGUGGCGAAAGCGGCCUCCUAAACGAAUACUGACACUGAGGUGCGAAAGCUGGGGAGCAAAACAGGGAUUAGAUACC